UACAGAGGUCUCAAGCGUUGUUCGGAUUCAUUGGGCGUAAAGGGUGCGUAGGCGGCGCAGCAAGUUGGGUGUGAAAUCCCUCGGCUCAACCGAGGAAUUGCGCCCAAAACUGCUGCACUAGAGGAAGACAGAGGUACGCGGAACUUAGGGUGGAGCGGUGAAAUGCGUUGAUAUCCUAAGGAACACCGGUGGCGAAAGCGGCGUACUGGGUCUUAUCUGACGCUGAGGCACGAAAGCUAGGGGAGCGAACGGG
rnacentral:rRNA from 1 species